rfam:Monodelphis domestica chromosome 5, whole genome shotgun sequence.
AUCUGGGUGGCUCAGUGGAUUGAGAGCCAGGCCUAGAGACAGGAGGUCGUAGGUUCAAAUCUGACCUCAGAUA